rnacentral:lncRNA from 1 species
ACAGCAGUUACCAGGUGUUCAGGACAAAGAAAGAAUAUAGACAGAAUGAGAAGGUGGCACAUUUGACACCAACCAGGUCCCAAGAGAAACUAAAUGCUUAUCAAACCUAAUGUGCACACAAAUCGCCUGGGAAACAGAUUGUGAUUCAAUAGGGCUGAGGGCCCAAGACUGCAUUUCCAGCCAGCUCCAAAGUAAUGCUGAUAACCACAGUGAGCACCAAAGCCAAAUGCCAAAAACCAAAAAGGAUGGCAAGAAUCAACCACAGGGGACAUCAGAGGACCACAGGUGGAGGAGAAGAGGCGAAAGUGGAAGCAACACAGGAUUACUCUGGAUGCUAUGCUGAGAAGAAACUGAAGACAAUGGUGGAAGUGGGAAAGCUUAUGACUCAGAAUAACUAUUUCUAAUAACAAAUUUUAAGUUCUCUUCAUGCAGAGCAGCUGACACAAAUCUUCAACUCAUUGAUGAUGGCAUCUGACUGUUCCAGGUAUUAAGAAGAGAGAAAGAAUCUGAGAAAUUAUGGCGUACUCAACUGUGGACAGCUGAAAGUCUGGCAUAGCGUGCCCUCAUCAUCACAAAUGGGCUCGCAUUACAAGCUACACUUAUUUGACAACUAUCAGCAUUUGUCAACCGGCACUCAGAUUUGAAGACUCAUUUCACAGCUGGAGCAAGAGAAGACAGGAAGGAAAAAUCAGAGUAAGGUUUCAAUGAGUUUCUGCAAAUUCUCAGAAGUUUUGCUGCCACUCAGUGUCACAAUAACAAAAAGAAAUAAAAAUAGCUGAUAUUUACUAAACAUC